ensembl:misc_RNA 7SK 7SK RNA
GGAUGUGAGGGCGAUCUGGCUGCGACAUCAGUCACACCACUGAUCGCCAGGGUUGAUUUGGCUGAUCUGGCUGGCUAGGUGGGUGUCCCCUUCCUCCCUCACCACUUCAUGUGCGUCCCUCCAGAAGCUGUGCAUUCCAUUGGUCAAAAAAGACAGCCUUCCCUGAACAGAGAUGGAUCUUUGAUUGAGGGUAUAUGAGUAGCUGCGCUCCCCUGCUAGAACCUCCAAACAAGCUCUCAAGAUAUACAUCAUCAAAGUCUCACUGAUUGAACAUAAGACUAAUAUUUUUACUUGCAUGAUUAUGGCAUCUAACAUUUUAUCAUUCUUC